GGAUACCUCAGUCAGCAGAGAAAGAGACUCUUGAUCUCAGGGUUGUGGGUUUAAGCCCCACGUUGGGCA